UGAGGCAGGAGAAUUGCUUGAACCCAGGAGGCGGAGGUUGCAGUGAGCCGAGAUCGCGCCACUGCACUCCAGCCUGGGUGACAGAGUGAGACUCCAUCUC
rnacentral:miRNA from 1 species